UGGGGAAUAUUGGACAAUGGGCGCAAGCCUGAUCCAGCCAUGCCGCGUGCGUGAAGAAGGCCUUAGGGUUGUAAAGCGCUUUCACUGGUGAAGAUGAUGACGGUAGCCAGAGAAGAAGCCCCGGCUAACUCCGUGCCAGCAGCCGCGGUAAUACGGAGGGGGCAAGCGUUGUUCGGAAUUACUGGGCGUAAAGGGCGCGUAGGCGGAACAUUAAGUUAGGGGUGAAAGGCCUGGGCUCAACCUGGGAACGGCCUCUAAGACUGAUGAUCUCGAGUCCGGAAGAGGAUGGCGGAAUUCCCAGUGUAGAGGUGAAAUUCGUAGAUAUUGGGAAGAACACCGGUGGCGAAGGCGGCCAUCUGGUCCGGCACUGACGCUGAGGCGCGAAAGCGUGGGGAGCAAACA
rnacentral:rRNA from 1 species